UGUGUUCCCUUAAGACCAUGUUGAAAUUUUCCAUUCCUCAAGGAUUUGAGAUCUACAAAGCCAGAGACUUUGUAACUGCACUGGGGAAAAGAAUAUAUCCAAAACUUUUGGAUUGCUCGACAUUAGAUGCUAACUCUGAGCUAAUACUAAUUUCCAGGGACCCAGAACAAACUUAUCAAUGGAUUUCAGGUUGUGAUGAUUAAUUUUAUGUGUCAACUUGGCUAGG